CUGGGCAACUAAAGCAUUGCACGUCGGGCGCUUGCAGGGUAGCCUUCGGGAAAAAUCGAGAUAAGGGACGCCGCGAUAGUUCCCGUGGCUUAUAUCACAUAUGGUGAGCAGAUGCGCGCUAGGUAAAAGUUGUCAACGCCUCCUUUAGUGGUCCAGGUUCCGGGGGUUCCUCCUCAUCCUUUCGUGCGCGCUCUUCCACCUUAAAAGUAAAAGACCGCUGAAAUAAAGGUCGCUUGAACCCCAGUCAACGAUCGAGGUGUGCGUAUGGUCUUACUCUGCUUUUUCUCGUUUAUCUCUCGUUCCUAGCGAUUUAUAAUACAUUUUGUUGUGUUAAAAAGCCCACUCGGCUCUCUUCGAUCUGUCAGCGGUGCAAGUGCUACUGAGGAUUGUUUGUGAGCAACUUCCACGCAAUUAAGAUGAGUUCUCCGCGAGCGAAGCGGUACAGACGCUACCUAGAGCCUGAGCGAUCGCGCUAUGUUCCUCGACAAACACGUCACAAUCAACGCGUGAGGCAGGGCGAUGCGCCGCACGCUGACGGCGUCAGCGAAAGCUCGUCGGCCAGCGACGAACGCCGGCCGGACUCGCCAACCUGCUCGGAUCAAUCUACGGUGGCUGAUGUCGAUCAACUGGGCGAAGAUUUUUCAGAUUGCGAAGAAGCUGACGACAUCCCGCAAGAACGCGUUGACUUACGAACAGAAGCUGCUGCUUGCGAAGGAGAGGCUGGAAAUGAGGGUGAAUACGUGGAAUGCGGCAACCGCGACGAAGAACAGGCUGACGAUUUCGAGGAUCAACGAGCUGACAAUAGCGGCGAUGGAGAAACUGAGGGCCCCGGAGAACAAGCUAAUGACCGCGACGAAGAGGAAGGUGACGACUGCGAAUUUAGUGGCGACUUUCUCGAGGAACAAGCUAAUGACCGCGACGGAGAGGAAGUUGAUGACUGGGAAUUUAGUGGCGACUUUCUCGAAGCUGAUGACCGCGACGUAGAGGAAGAUAACUACGAGUUUAGUGACGACGUUCUCGACGAACAAGCUGAUGACCGCGACGAAGAGGAAGGUGACGACUGCGAUUUUAGAGGCGACUUUCUCGAAGAACAAGCUGAUGACUGCGACGAAGAGGAAGAUGAUUGCGAAUUUAGUGGUGACUUUUCGGAUGAUAACGACGACUCGACAAAUGAUGACGUAGACGACGAUGAUGUGAGGCAGUUCUUCGAGAAGUGUGAGAAAGAAACCUUGCCUAAUCAGGCCAUUAACAAAGCCCAGGCAAUGUUGCUUAUUAUGGCCUAUGUUUUAUACGCUGGAUUGACAUGGUCACAAGUGGAUGGACUGCUGAAGCUUGUUAAUACCCUCUGUGGGACCGAAGUGGUGCCUGAAACAAAGUACCUCUUUAGGAAAAUGUGGCAAAACAGAAUGAAGUCGCUUGGUGUGCACUUCUUCUGCCAGCGUUGUUAUGGCUACCUUGGAUCCCAAAAUCUCAAGGACAGAUCAAGCAAUUUCACUUGUAGCCAGUGUAGAGUGACGCGAACUGUAAGCUGGCUGCUCUUGAAAGGCAGCUUCUUUUUGGUCUUUGACUUGAAGAAACAACUGCUCAGUGUGCUCUCGCAAGCCUCAACAGAACUGUUUCAACGAUUAAAAUCAGGAGCAUCUACAGUAUAUGGGAUGUAUUCUGAUAUUACUGAUGGGCGCCUGUACCGCAGCAUCAGGGAACGUGUGAAUGCACAGUGGUGUGACAUCACCGUGACUAUCAACACUGACGGAUCACCAGUGUUUAAGUCCAGCAAGUACAGUGUGUGGCCCAUUCAAAUUUUGGUCAACGAACUGCCAUUUAACAUUCGCUUCUGCAACAUUGUUGUUGGAGCACUGUGGUUUGCGAAGUGCCACCCUCCAGCGCACCUGUUCAUGCAGACUUUUGUGAAAGUGUUCAACAACAUGAACACGAUUUCUUGGCAACAUGCUGGAGAAAGAAUUAAUUCAAAAGUCUUCGUGACGUGCUGCUGCGUUGACUCACCAGCAAGAGCUUCACUGUUAAAUAUGAAGCAGUUCAACGGCUUUUAUGGCUGCUCAUGGUGCUUGGAAAAAGGAACUGCUGUGGAACGGACUUUGCGAUACAUUCCUGGGGAAAAUGCUGCUGCACUGCGCACGCACAGAGGCAUGGUGCAAGACAUGCAGGAUGCCUACGAGCAAGGCCGGCCUGUUCAUGGAAUCAAGGGCCCCUCACCCCUAUUGCAACUGAAAGGCUUUAACCUUGUGUGGUGCCUGCCCCCAGAUUACAUGCACUGUGUGCUGGAAGGUGUUACUGAGCAAAUAACCGAACUGUGGCUGACAGGAGCUGGAACACCCUUCUAUAUUGGGCGGCACAUACAAGAAGUAGAAAACCGCAUCAGGGACCUGAAGCCUCCAGCGUCAUUCUGCCGCCUCCCCCGUCCUAUUGGUGAACGGAAGUACUGGAAGGCGACUGAAUGGUUGUAUUGGCUUUUGUUUUAUGCUUUGCCAUGUUUGAAGGGUGUACUUCAAGAAAGGUACCUUACACAUUUUUCUUUACUCUGUGAGGCAAUUUUUCUUCUUUUGCAGACGUCUGUGAGUGCAUCAGACCUUCAGAGGGCUGACCACCUUCUUUCUUCUUUUGUGAACAGAGUAUGCGUGCUGUAUGGGGAAAGCAGUGCCACUUAUAACGUUCAUCAGCUGCUGCACUUGAGCAAAAGUGUUGAAAUGCUUGGACCGCUAUGGGGAACAUCCACGUUCCCAUUUGAAAACAGUAAUGGGCUGCUUGUAAAGCUAGUUACGGCCUCAAAGGGGGUUCCACUGCAGAUUGCAGAGCGCUGUAUUAUGAAGCUAUGGCUAAGCAUAGCAGGUAGGUUUGUGAGUUUGUCAGCAUCUCUUGCAGAGAGAAAAAGAAAGAUAACUCAGACAGCUGCUGCUGAAGUGAAAGGUAUCAACGUACUUGGGGCGCCAUUAAAAUUGGUGCAUCUGGAGACAGGUGUGGCAGAACUGUUUGUUCAAAAGUACGGGACAGUUCCACCCUUGAUGCAUUAUGCCAGGCUUCAGAUUCACUCAAUGCAGGUUCACAGUACCCGCUACAGUCAUGCCUUGAAAACAUGCUCCAGCUGCACGAAAAUGAGUGACGGCAUUUUUUGUUUGGUCACUGACAUCUGUUCUUUUUUUUUAACAGAGCGGAAAAUUGUUCUCGUGUGCCAAGAGUUAGUAGCCGUGGAGCCUGAUUUUAGAAAUGUCAGUUAUAUGCAUUCCUGCAGGCGUCCACCUACCAAUAGAAACUUUACUCUUUACGCCCCUGAGGAUGUGCGUGCACUGUGUGUGUUAGUCGAGCAAGGAAAUAUGCUUUAUGUUUCUGAAUUUCCAAAUAAUUACAAAAUCGACUAAAUGGCUUGAAGCAUUUUUUUCUAUAAGCCCAGUUGAUUCACAUUUGAGCGUCAUGAUCGAUUUUGUUGUUAUGGUGAGGAGCUUAAAGGCCAAAUGCAAUGAAAUUUUGGAGCGCUAAAGAGCCUAGUGUAACAUAAUGUAGACAUUAAAGAGUCUCUGUGCAAAAUUUGAUGUUUGAAAAACAAGCGGGAUAUUAUGCAAAGCUAGCAAAAAUAGCCCUUUUUGAUAUUGAAACUCGAAACAACACCACCAUUACCACUCACUGGAAGUGACACAUUACCUCUGCAAUCUCAGAGGCCGUGCUGCUGCAUAGCGUAGAUACUGUGGCCACCACAUGGUGCCGGGACGAGCCCUCUCCUUGUUAGAGGCGCUCAGACUACCGCAUGCUCUGGUUGGUCUCUGUGGUUCUCAAGGCAUGGCUACACGAGCCAGCCGGAGCGCAUGGUGCCCACGGCUGCCGGUGGUAAACUGAGAAAUCUCUGACACUCUGCGGCUUUGUAAAUGUUAUUACGAUAUUAUCCAUAUGAGAUGCUCAAGAGGCGAGCCGCCGCGAGAACGACAAAGUGGGUAUGUGCCCUUGGCGCGAGCGUGGGCCUGGCUCUCUGGCUCCGCUGUAAAGAGCCUGUCAGUAGCCUCUUUCGUCUGUGCCUUUCCACAUGCAACAAUAUUGCUUCAGCAGUAUAUACUACCUAUUUCUAACAAAUAUUGCCAAAGUGAAAUUUCAUUGCAGGUGGCCUUUGUAUGAUGGGUUCUUGUCAAAUAUUGAAUUUCAAAAUAGUUAAAAGAUGGAAAAUUGAAGCUUUACUCGCCAGAUUUAGCUCCCCCAGAUUUUCAUCUUUAUUCUAGGCCCAAGUAACACUUAGCUGGAACCCACUUUCUAUCAGAUAGUGAUGUCAUGGCUUCAGUGGAGGACUUUCUUGAUGUGCAGGAUGAAACCUUCUACAAGAAAGGGAUAAUGGGACUGCAGCAUUGGUAGAAAGUGUGUAGUGCUGAGAGGGGAAUAUGUUGAAAUAUAGCCACGAAUGAUUGAGCUCCUUACCACCUUUCAUUGAUAGGCCGAGAAGCUUGCAGUUAAUCCCUCAUGUAGUACACUACAGCCGUUUAUUGUUGGAUGGAGCAGGCUGUACAUUUUAUACUCUAUGCUUUUAUAUGUUUGCUCAAUGUUUUUGUACUCUAUGCUUUGGUAGUUUAAAGAUUUUUGGUUUCUGAA